rnacentral:rRNA from 1 species
UACGUAGGUGGCAAGCGUUGUCCGGAUUUACUGGGUGUAAAGGGCGUGUAGGCGGGAUGGAAAGUCAGAUGUGAAAUACCGAGGCUCAACCUCGGGGCUGCAUUUGAAACUUCCAUUCUUGAGUGCAGGAGAGGAAAGCGGAAUUCCUAGUGUAGCGGUGAAAUGCGUAGAUACUAGGAGGAACACCAGUGGCGAAGGCGGCUUUCUGGACUGUAACUGACGCUGAGGCGCGAAAGCAUGGGGAGCGAACAGG